rnacentral:rRNA from 1 species
UACGGAGGGUGCAAGCGUUAUCCGGAAUCAUUGGGUUUAAAGGGUGCGUAGGCGGCUUUGUAAGUCAGUGGUGAAAUAUGGCAGCUUAACUGUCAGGGUGCCAUUGAUACGGCGGAGCUUGAGUACAGAUGAGGUAGGCGGAAUUGACGGUGUAGCGGUGAAAUGCUUAGAUAUCGUCAAGAACACCUAUAGCGAAGGCAGCUUACUAGGCUGUAACUGACGCUGAGGCACGAAAGUGUGGGGAUCAAACAGG